rnacentral:rRNA from 1 species
GAUGAACGCUGGCGGCGUGCUUAACACAUGCAAGUCGAACGGAAAGGCCCAAGCUUGCUUGGGUACUCGAGUGGCGAACGGGUGAGUAACACGUGGGUGAUCUGCCCUGCACUUCGGGAUAAGCCUGGGAAACUGGGUCUAAUACCGGAUAGGACGAUGGUUUGGAUGCCAUUGUGGAAAGUUUUUUCGGUGUGGGAUGAGCUCGCGGCCUAUCAGCUUGUUGGUGGGGUAAUGGCCUACCAAGGCGUCGACGGGUAGCCGGCCUGAGAGGGUGUACGGCCACAUUGGGACUGAGAUACGGCCCAGACUCCUACGGGAGGCAGCAGUGGGGAAUAUUGCACAAUGGGCGAAAGCCUGAGGCAGCGACGCCGCGUGGGGGAUGACGGCCUUCGGGUUGUAAACUCCUUUCGCUAGGGACGAAGCGUUUUUGCGACGGUACCUGGAGAAGAAGCACCGGCUAACUACGUG